AACGAACGCUGGCGGCAGGCUUAACACAUGCAAGUCGAGCGCCCCGCAAGGGGAGCGGCAGACGGGUGAGUAACGCGUGGGAAUCUACCAAUCUCUACGGAAUAACGCAUGGACACGUGUGCUAAUACCGUAUACGGCACUCGGGGGUAAGAUUUAUCGGAGAUGGGUGAGCCCGCGUUGGAGUAGCUAGUUGGUGGGGUAAAGGCCUACCAAGGCGACGAUCCAUAGCGGGUAUGAGAGGAUGAUCAGGCACACUGGGACUGAGACACGGCCCAGACUCCUACGGGAGGCAGCAGUGGGGAAUAUUGGACAAUGGGCGCAAGCCUGAUCCAGCCAUGCCGCGUGAGUGAUGAAGGCCCUAGGGUUGUAAAGCUCUUUCACCGGUGAAGAUAAUGACGGUAACCGGAGAAGAAGCCCCGGCUAACUUCGUGCCAGCCGCCGCCGUAAGAC
rnacentral:rRNA from 1 species